UACGUAGGGUGCGAGCGUUAAUCGGAAUUACUGGGCGUAAAGCGUGCGCAGGCGGUUUUGUAAGCCACAUGUGAAAGCCCCGGGCUCAACCUGGGAACUGCAUUUGUGACUGCAUGGCUAGAGUGCGGCAGAGGGGGAUGGAAUUCCGCGUGUAGCAGUGAAAUGCGUAGAUAUGCGGAGGAACACCGAUGGCGAAGGCAAUCCCCUGGGCCUGCACUGACGCUCAUGCACGAAAGCGUGGGGAGCAAACAGG
rnacentral:rRNA from 1 species